rnacentral:rRNA from 1 species
AUCUUUCGCAAUGGAGGGAACUCUGAUGCAGCGACGCCGCGUGAACGAUGAAGUCAUUCGGGUCGUAAAGUUCUGUCCUAGGGGACGAUAAUGACGGUACCCUAGGAGGACGCACCGGCUAACUACGUGCCAGCAGCCGCGGUACUACGUAUGGGGCAAGCGUUGUCCGGAUUUAUUGGGCGUAAAGGGUUCGCAGGCGGCCUUUUAAGUCAGAUGUGAAAGACUACAGCUCAACUGUGGUAAGCAAUUGAAACUGAAAGGCUUGAGUUAAGGAGAGGAAAGUGGAAUUCCUAGUGUAGCGGUGAAAUGCGUAGAUAUUAGGAGGAAUACCAGUGGCGAAGGCGACUUUCUGGACUUAUACUGACGCUGAGGGACGAAAGCGUGGGGAGCAAAC